rnacentral:rRNA from 1 species
UGGUGGAGUGAUUUGUCUGCUUAAUUGCGAUAACGAACGAGACCUUAACCUACUAAAUAGCCCGGCCCGCUUUUGCGGGUCGCUGGCUUCUUAGAGGGACUAUCGGCUCAAGCCGAUGGAAGUUUGAGGCAAUAACA